UAAGUCAUACUAUACAGAAUCAUUUCUGUAGUGUGGGUUUCGCAGUCCCAACUAAAGGGCGAUACCUGUCCACCUCGAUGAACGGAUGACGUGACGGACGAGUCGCGAGCGGG
rnacentral:snoRNA from 1 species